rnacentral:lncRNA from 1 species
AAUACAGUUUCAGAAAUAAAAGUUAGUAAAAGACUGUUUUGACGAGCUGUCAACUCAUUGGGGACGCACAAUUGAACUCCAGUCCAGGUUUUCCAAGCAACACCUGCUAACCGAGAAAUUCAAUUAAGGACUCCUCUUCCCACUUGGAGCCGGUCUCCAGGGCAGAUCUUCCGGGCGACUCGCCCUGUAAGAAAUUAGAAAAUGCUACAAUAAAACCCGAAAAACUGAAGAAAAAAGAAAUGUGGCAACUUUAAUAAUGAAGGCUCCAACGCUACCCAGCGUAAACACACACGUCCCUGUAGUCGGAAGUCAGCGAAAGACAGCGAAGUACCACAGAUCAUUCAUGGAAAGCCAUCUUCUAUAUUAAAAAUGCCACUGCUAGUACAACAAAAGAUCUCAUAACUGCGUUUUGGUUAAGACUUGGUUGGCAACCUGCUCCAUUACUGCCCCCCUCCCCUCCUCUCCGCACCCAACCCUCCAACCCCCUCCAGGGAGCCUUGGGAGGCAGAGAGCCAUCACCAUGGUGAUCUGAACACAGAUCCCCCACACACCGGUCCAU